UGCCUGAUCAGACUCAGGAAAGCGUGACCUGU
rnacentral:piRNA from 1 species